rnacentral:rRNA from 1 species
GGACGGGUGAGUAACACGUGGGUAACCUACCUAUAAGACUGGGAUAACUCCGGGAAACCGGGGCUAAUACCGGAUAAUAUUUUGAACCGCAUGGUUCAAUAGUGAAAGACGGUUUCGGCUGUCACUUAUAGAUGGACCCGCGCCGUAUUAGCUAGUUGGUAAGGUAACGGCUUACCAAGGCGACGAUACGUAGCCGACCUGAGAGGGUGAUCGGCCACACUGGAACUGAGACACGGUCCAGACUCCUACGGGAGGCAGCAGUAGGGAAUCUUCCGCAAUGGGCGAAAGCCUGACGGAGCAACGCCGCGUGAGUGAUGAAGGUCUUC